rnacentral:rRNA from 1 species
GUCGCUCCUACCGAUAGAGCGAUCCGGUGAAUUAUUUGAAGUGUUGACAAUGGCAGUUCCGUUUUAUUGUUGAUGCAAAGUUUUGUGAACCUUAUCGCUUAGAGGAAGGAA